rnacentral:rRNA from 1 species
UACGUAGGGCGCAAGCGUUGUCCGGAAUUAUUGGGCGUAAAGAGCUCGUAGGCGGUUUGUCGCGUCUGCUGUGAAAACCUAAGGCUCAACCUUGGGCUUGCAGUGGGUACGGGCAGACUAGAGUGCGGUAGGGGUGACUGGAAUUCCUGGUGUAGCGGUGGAAUGCGCAGAUAUCUGGAGGAACACCGGUGGCGAAGGCGGCAUCCUGGACCGACACUGACGCUGAGGAGCGAAAGCCAGGGGAGCAAACGGG